GAUCAUGGCUCAGGAUGAACGCUAGCUACAGGCUUAACACAUGCAAGUCGAGGGGCAGCAUAUCGGUAGCUUGCUACUGAUGAUGGCGACCGGCGCACGGGUGAGUAACGCGUAUCCAACCUUCCCCUUAGUAGGGCAUAGCCCGGCGAAAGUCGGAUUAAUACCCUAUGUUAUCCAGCGAUGGCAUCUGAAUUGGAUUAAAGGUUUACCGCUAAGGGAUGGGAUGCGUCUGAUUAGGUUGUUGGCGGGGUAACGGCCCACCAAGCCAUCGAUCAGUAGGGGUUCUGAGAGGAAGGUCCCCCACAUUGGAACUGAGACACGGUCCAAACUCCUACGGGAGGCAGCAGUGAGGAAUAUUGGUCAAUGGGCGAGAGCCUGAACCAGCCAAGUAGCCGUGCAGGAAGACGGCCCUAUGGGUUGUAAACUGCUUUUAUACAGGGAUAAAGUCGGGGACGUGUCCCCGUUUGCAGGUACUGUAUGAAUAAGGACCGGCUAAUUCCGUGCCAGCAGCUGC
rnacentral:rRNA from 1 species